rnacentral:rRNA from 1 species
GAUGAACGCUGGCGGCGUGCCUAAUACAUGCAAGUCGAGCGAACAGACGAGGAGCUUGCUCCUCUGACGUUAGCGGCGGACGGGUGAGUAACACGUGGAUAACCUACCUAUAAGACUGGGAUAACUUCGGGAAACCGGAGCUAAUACCGGAUAACAUGUUGAACCGCAUGGUUUAACAGUGAAAGACGGUCUUGCUGUCACUUAUAGAUGGAUCCGCGCCGCAUUAGCUAGUUGGUAAGGUAACGGCUUACCAAGGCAACGAUGCGUAGCCGACCUGAGAGGGUGAUCGGCCACACUGGAACUGAGACACGGUCCAGACUCCUACGGGAGGCAGCAGUAGGGAAUCUUCCGCAAUGGGCGAAAGCCUGACGGAGCAACGCCGCGUGAGUGAAGAAGGUCUUCGGAUCGUAAAACUCUGCUAUUAGGGAAGAACAAAUGUGUAAGUAACUAUGCACGUCUUGACGGUACCUAAUCAGAAAGCCACGGCUAACUACGUG